rnacentral:rRNA from 1 species
GACGAACGCUGGCGGCGUGCCUAAUACAUGCAAGUCGAACGAACCGCGACUAGGUGCUUGCACUUGGUCAAGGUGAGUGGCGAACGGGUGAGUAACACGUGGGUAACCUACCUCAUAGUGGGGGAUAACAGUCGGAAACGACUGCUAAUACCGCAUAGGACAUAGGAUCACAUGAUUCUGUGAGGAAAGGUGGCGCAAGCUAUCGCUAAGAGAUGGACCCGCGGUGCAUUAGCUAGUUGGUAGGGUAAAGGCCUACCAAGGCGAUGAUGCAUAGCCGACCUGAGAGGGUGAUCGGCCACAUUGGGACUGAGACACGGCCCAAACUCCUACGGGAGGCAGCAGUAGGGAAUCUUCCGCAAUGGACGCAAGUCUGACGGAGCAACGCCGCGUGAGUGAAGAAGGUCUUCGGAUCGUAAAGCUCUGUUGUUAGAGAAGAACAGCGCAUAGAGUAACUGCUAUGCGUGUGACGGUAUCUAACCAGAAAGCCACGGCUAACUACG